UCUUCAUUUGGUCAUGGAGAUCAUUAGUGAUGUGAAUGUCCUUGGAGACCCAGACAUCUGCAGGCCUCACUGGACAGCACCCAGGAGACCUGAUCCUCAAUUACCAAAUCAAAUACCAUAAAGAGCAGCGGAUGCCUAUGGAAUGAUAUCAGUGAAUGUCUCAAAUGUGUUAGAGAGAGAGAGAGAGAAAGAGGGGUCCAUAUGCACACUAGCUGUAGACUGUGUACUUCUGGACUGAAUGUUUGUGUGUUUCUGAGCAGCGUGAGGUGUUUGAUCUUGCUCUCUCUAGGAGCUGAACUUAAAAUGACUAUAAAUAACCCUCUGAUUAUUUGAGUUAAUUUCCUGCGUUUAUAUGUUAUUUUGAUAUUAGUUAGGUAUUUUCUAGAUAAUAAUUAUAUGUUUGUGAUGUUUUGAAAUGCUUCUUUGCACUCUUUAAGUUGUUUAUCCGAUGGAGACUUUUAUUUUGAAAGACGGCUUGCAGGAAAAAAGGCGCGGCGCUCGCUAAAACACGGAAACAGAGACCGCGGAGAUCGCAGAGAAGGAGAGCACGCGUACAGAAACGGAGACGGAACAAAGUUAACAUAAAUAAUUAAGAACACUUUAAAAAAGUAAAAAGGAAAUUAGCAUCGUUUUGUUUUAUUUUAACUUUGAUAUUUUAACACCUGGUUGAAAGGGAGAACAAGCUCUUACGGUGUUGUGACAAUAAAAACACAAAAGGAAGGCAACACAA